GGGAAUGCUACUAUGGCUUUUUUGACUUACAGCUUUUUAAAACGUGGCAAGUAAAAGCCACUGAAGUGAAAAGUUGGUAAGAGAAGUGAGAAUUUAUACUUGCUAUAAGGAAUAUUCAGUCCUGGUACUUUGCCUUAUGCUUGCAAUCUUUCCCUAAUAAGUUUCCUUGCAUCCCCAGGCUCAGAAGUUUCUCAGGCUGACGAAAACUGUGGAAAGAUCCAUCCAGGGAAAUUAUGCUCAAUUAACUUUGUUCCCAAUUAUUUCAACGCCACAGAUGAAGAAAAAAUGGUUUAAAAAGUUUGCGAGGAGGAACAGCACCUUCAUUCCUGCUUGCAUGGCAACAACAGCUGCAUUCACAUGAAAAGGCCAGCUUGUUAAACAUCAUGUAACACUGAAUGUACUGAAUAUUUUAAAGGUCAGGUAUUGACAGGCACUGAGCUGCUUAUGUUUCCCUAAUGACCCCAAUUACAUCCAAG
rnacentral:lncRNA from 1 species